rnacentral:rRNA from 1 species
GAUGAACGCUAGCGGCAGGCCUAACACAUGCAAGUCGAGGGGUAGAGGAAGCUUGCUUCCUUGAGACCGGCGCACGGGUGCGUAACGCGUAUGCAAUCUACCUUUUACAGAGGGAUAGCCCAGAGAAAUUUGGAUUAAUACCUCAUAGUAUUUUCGAAUGGCAUCAUUUGAUUAUUAAAGUUCCAACGGUAAAAGAUGAGCAUGCGUCCUAUUAGCUAGAUGGUAAGGUAACGGCUUACCAUGGCAACGAUAGGUAGGGGUCCUGAGAGGGAGAUCCCCCCCACAGGGACUAAGACACGGACCAGACUCCUACGGGAGGCAGCAGUGAGGAAUAUUGGACAAUGGGCGCAAGCUUGAUCCAGCCAUGCCGCGUGCAGGAAGACGCAUCUAUGGUGUGUAAACUGCUUUUGUACGGGAAGAAACACUCCCUCGUGAGGGAGCUUGACGGUACCGUAAGAAUAAGGAUCGGCUAACUCCGUGCCAGCAGCCGCGGUAAUAC